AUUGAACGCUGGCGGCAGGCCUAACACAUGCAAGUCGAGCGGAGCGGCGGACGGGAGGGUAAGGAAUAGGUAUCUGCCUGGUAGUGGGGGAUAACGUCCGGAAAGGGGCGCUAAUCUCGCAUACUACCAGAUGAGCCUAGGUCGUGUUAGCUAGGUGGUGGGGUAAAGGCCUACAAAGGCGACGUUCCGUAACUGGUCUGCGAGGAUGAUCAGUAACACGUGAACUGAGACACGGUCCAGACUCCUACGGGAGGCAGCAGUGGGGAAGAUUGGACAAUGGGCGAAAGCCUGAUCCAGCCAUGCCGCGUGUGUGAAGAAGGUCUUCGGAUUGUAAAGCACUUUAAUUUGGGAGGCGUUACCAACAGAAAAAGCACCGGCUAACUUCGUGCCAGCAGCCGCGGUAAUUC
rnacentral:rRNA from 1 species